rnacentral:rRNA from 1 species
UGGGGAAUUUUGGACAAUGGGCGAAAGCCUGAUCCAGCAAUGCCGCGUGUGUGAAGAAGGCCUUCGGGUUGUAAAGCACUUUUGUCCGGAAAGAAAUCCUUGGCUCUAAUACAGUCGGGGGAUGACGGUACCGGAAGAAUAAGCACCGGCUAACUACGUGCCAGCAGCCGCGGUAAUACGUAGGGUGCAAGCGUUAAUCGGAAUUACUGGGCGUAAAGCGUGCGCAGGCGGUUUGCUAAGACCGAUGUGAAAUCCCCGGGCUCAACCUGGGAACUGCAUUGGUGACUGGCAGGCUAGAGUAUGGCAGAGGGGGGUAGAAUUCCACGUGUAGCAGUGAAAUGCGUAGAGAUGUGGAGGAAUACCGAUGGCGAAGGCAGCCCCCUGGGCCAAAUACUGACGCUCAUGCACGAAAA